GACGAACGCUGGCGGCGUGCUUAACACAUGCAAGUCGAGCGGUAAGGCCCUUUCGGGGGUACACGAGCGGCGAACGGGUGAGUAACACGUGGGUGACCUGCCCUCAGCUCUGGGAUAAGCCUGGGAAACCGGGUCUAAUACUGGAUAUGACUCCAUGACGCAUGUUGUGGGGUGGAAAGCCUUGUGCGGCUGAGGAUGGGCCCGCGGCCUAUCAGCUUGUUGGUGGGGUGAUGGCCUACCAAGGCGACGACGGGUAGCCGGCCUGAGAGGGCGACCGGGCCACACUGGGACUGAGACACGGCCCAGACUCCUACGGGAGGGCAGCAGUGGGGAAUCUUNCGGCAAUGGGCGAAAGCCUGACGCAGCGACGCCGCGUGAGGGAUGA
rnacentral:rRNA from 1 species